rnacentral:rRNA from 1 species
UACGAGGGGGGCAAGCGUUGUUCGGAAUUAUUGGGCGUAAAGGGCGCGUAGGCGGUUUGACAAGUCUGAUGUGAAAUCUCUGGGCUCAACCCAGAGUCUGCAUUAGAAACUGUCGGGCUUGAGUAUGGGAGAGGUGAGUGGAAUUUCCGGUGUAGCGGUGAAAUGCGUAGAUAUCGGAAGGAACACCUGUGGCGAAAGCGGCUCACUGGACCAUAACUGACGCUGAGGCGCGAAAGCUAGGGGAGCAAACGGG